AGCGAACGCUGGCGGUAGGCCUAACACAUGCAAGUCGAACGACCCUUUAGGGGUUAGUGGCGGACAGGUGUGUAACAUGUGGGAACGUGCCUUUAGGCUCGGAAUAACACAGGGAAACUUGUGCUAACACCGAAUGUGUCACUCGGGGGCAAGAUUUAUCGCAUUUAGAGCGGCACGCGUCUGACUAGCUAGUUGGUUGAGGUAAUGGCUCACCAAGGCGACGAUCAGUAGCUGGUCUGAGAGGAUGAUCAGCCACAUUGGGACUGAGACACGGCCCAAACUCCUACGGGAGGCAGCAGUGGGGAAUCUUGCGCAAUGGGCGAAAGCCUGACGCAGCCAUGCUGCGUGAAUGAUGAAGGUCUUAGGAUUGUAAAAUUCUUUCACCGGGGACGAUAAUGACGGUACCCGGAGAAGAAGCCCCGGCUAACUUCGUG
rnacentral:rRNA from 1 species